ACAUUACUAUGGUUAUUUGUUAUAUUAGUUUUUUUCUUUGUCUUUAGUCUUUACAAAGUUGUAUGAAACAUUUCAUUUUGGUAAUGAUGAUGAUGUCUUUUAAUAUAUUGAUCAAGUUUACUUUGAUUGCA